ACAAAACCAUUCGAUUGUUUCAGAGCCGUUCAUAAUUACUUUUCAACAAUGCCAACAAUGUCAAUUCAUUGGACGAAAUGUUGUUUUUGUUGAGGGCUUUUAAUUUUUGUAAAUUGAAAAUUCAUGUUUAAUUUCAUUGUCGACGUUCACGUCGCCGUCGUUGUGGCCAUCCCACCGUUACCAUUGACACCGCAAUUUUUUUCGCCGUUGAUAUUGCCGAAAUUGCUUGGUGUUAUGCGGUGGUGUCGAGUAGCGUGUCAAAUUGCUCUUAAGUCGGUCAGAAUCCACGGUCACAGAACACUGCCCAAGCAGGGCCGAACAGCAAGCAGCCGGGCGGCUAGUUAGCCGGUCAGGUGUGUCUCAGGUUAUGAAGUUAUGCGAAGAGAGUGGAUUAAAUUGGAUAAAACUCUUAAGAGCACAGGAACAAGAGAGAAGGAAUCGAAAUUAAAAAAAAGAAAAAUACAUACACCCAAACCCCAUAUAAAUUUGAUAUUUGCUUUGACUACAACGUUGUGCGUGCAAAAACACCAGAGGAAGCAAAACGAAACCGGAAAUAAAAUAUGUCACACAAAAACCAAAACGUGAGCGUAAAGCGUGAUGAAUAAUGAAAGCUGUGGUAGAGCAAAGCACAUGCCGCAGCAGCAUCCCUUCAAAAGUCACCAUUGCAGGAACACACAGAAAAAAACACUUCACAAAAUAAAAUAAAAAAAAAAACAAAAGAUUUUCCAAAUAUAA
rnacentral:sRNA from 1 species